CUGGCUAGAUAUUACCUCCAGGGCAUUUCCUUGGCUGUUCUCUAAACCGAAUCCUGGAAGACUUUAGGAUGCUUGCAGAGUUGAAGGGCAGGACAACGUCUGGCUCGAGACCAGGAAAAAGGACACUGGAAUGACCGCACGCUGUGCAGCAAGAUGCUUAGCUGACAACAUUUUUUAGAGAAUGAAAAGUUAUGGCACCCUCGAGCAAUCAAACAAAGGACCGCGUCUACUCAAAGGUCUAUCGCGGAGAGCUCCAAAAUUUGGAUUAAUUUUAUGCUGUAGGGAUUCUGCCAACAGUCUCUAUGGCAAAGCAGUGUAAUGAAAUACAAUCUGUAUUUUGCCAUUUG